AAGAAUUAUGUAAAAAUUAAAUAUAAUCUAGUUACCCAUUUGGAUAUCCAAAUGGGUACCAAAAGUAUCCUUAAUCCAAAGAGUUCUCGUCGGUUAUGGUUGCUACUUAAUCAACUUUCGUAUAGAUAUAAUAAGAAUAUAUUGAAUAUUGACUUAGAUUUAUUUAAUGAGAUUACUCAUUAUUUUAGAAAUAAAUUCGUUGACUCAGAAAAACCGAAUAUAAAAAUCGAUUUAUCAAUGUAUAGUACAUUUCGCUUUAAAACAGACGAUUUUAUUCAUGCACUAAAGACUCGUAACAAAUUCUAAAAAGGCCCAGAUGGU
rnacentral:lncRNA from 1 species